rnacentral:rRNA from 1 species
AUUGAACGCUGGCGGGAUGCUUCACACAUGCAAGUCGACCGAGUGGCGGACGGGUGAGUAAUGGUUGGGAAUCUAGCUUAUGGGGGGGGAUAAAUACGGGAAACUGUAGAUAAUACCGCGUACCAUAGUAUGAGCCCAAGUGGGUUUAGGUAUUUGGUGAGGUAAAGACUCACCAAGCCGACGAUCUCUAGCUGGUCUGAGAGGAUGACCAGCCACACUGGGACUGAGACACGGCCCAGAAUCCUACGGGAUGCAGUAGUGCUGAAUAUUGCAAAAUUGGGGCAACCUGACACAGCCAUGCCGCGUGAAUGAAGAAGGCCUUCGGGUUGUAAAGUCCUUUCGGUAGCGAGGCGUUAACUAUAGAAGAAGCACCGGCUAACUCCGUGCCAGCCGCCGCGGUAAUUC